UACGUAGGGGGUUAGCGUUGUCCGGAAUCAUUGGGCGUAAAGCGCGUGUAGGCGGCCCGGUAAGUCCGCUGUGAAAGUCGGGGGCUCAACCCUCGGAUGCCGGUGGAUACUGUCGGGCUCGAGUCCGGAAGAGGAGUGUGGAAUUCCUGGUGUAGCGGUGAAAUGCGCAGAUAUCAGGAGGAACACCAAUGGCGAAGGCAGCACUCUGGGACGUGACUGACGCUGAGACGCGAAAGCGUGGGGAGCAAACAGG
rnacentral:rRNA from 1 species